AAGAGACGUUGCCCUUCGGGGUAUACCUCCCACCCUUUGUUUAUUACACCUUUGUUGCUUUGGCGGGCCCGUCCUCGGACCACCGGCUUCUGUUGGUCAGUGCCCGCCAGAGGACCUAAAACUCUGUUUGUUAAUAUUGUCUGAGUACUAUAUAAUAGUUAA
rnacentral:misc_RNA from 1 species